GGCUCAGUGGUCCAAUGGUUAAGCGUUCGUCGCAGAGCCAGAGGGUUCUUGGUUCGAUCCCUAACAGGGUCG
rnacentral:tRNA from 1 species